UACGUAGGGUGCAAGCGUUGUCCGGAAUUAUUGGGCGUAAAGAGCUCGUAGGCGGUCAGUCGCGUCUGCUGUGAAAACUCGGGGCUUAACUCCGGGCCUGCAGUGGGUACGGGCAGACUAGAGUGCGGUAGGGGAGAUUGGAAUUCCUGGUGUAGCGGUGGAAUGCGCAGAUAUCAGGAGGAACACCGAUGGCGAAGGCAGAUCUCUGGGCCGUAACUGACGCUGAGGAGCGAAAGCGUGGGGAGCGAACAGG
rnacentral:rRNA from 1 species